rnacentral:rRNA from 1 species
GCCGGUGCUUAUUCUGUCGGUAACGUCAAAAUAGCAACGUAUUAAGUUACUACCCUUCCUCCCAACUUAAAGUGCUUUACAAUCCGAAGACCUUCUUCACGCACGCGGCAUGGCUGGAUCAGGCUUUCGCCCAUUGUCCAAUAUUCCCCA